CUGACAUAAACUGAACUGGCUUCUCCAGGAAUUUGGUGGGUUUUAAUUUUCACUGAGUACACAAUCAUGGUGAGAAGAAAUAAAAGUUACUAACAUUAAAUUGUAAAUUGAUUUGACACAUAUUGUAUCCUAGUUUUGCGCAGUAGUGGUCAACCAAUAUGGGUUUUUUCAAUGGUCGAUACCAAUGCCGAUAUUUGCUGCAAGUCGAUAUGUAAUGCUGAUAUCACAUUGUUGUUUUUUUGCAUUUUAUAAAUAAUGCAAAUUUACAAUAAUACAUUAAAAUCCAACAUGCAGGGUUAUCUUAGCCAUAAACAUAUUUUAGAUGGAUUUUAAAUGAAUACAUGAAAUGGGCCAUUGCAUAGAGGUCAGAAUAUUAAUGCCAGAGGUGCAUUCAACUCCAUUAUUCUUCAAAUCAUAAUAAAAGCCCCAUGAGCCCCAGAUAUCUGCUGAUCCUCAUUAGUUCAAAGUGCUUUCAGCUGGUCUGUCUCUGUUGCAGUCUGUCUCAGCACUUCUGCCAUACCUAGUUGGAGAGACAUGUUGCUACAGGAAAUUACUUAGAAGUUUCUCAGCACUAACCAGACUGCACAAAGUUUUACGAAGCUACUUUCGGAUUUUCACUUACAGUAUGAUCUUCACACUCUAAAAACCCCUUGUUGUUUGGGUUCUUUUUAACCCAACACCAGUGUUGAAAAGUGAUCGACUACUUAUUGGGUUAUUUUGACCCAGAAUGUUGGGUUGUUCAAAUUAACCCAAAUUUCGGGUUGACUCAAUAACCCUUUUUAAGGCUCAAGUUAACCCAGUGUUUGAGUUAAUUUGGCUCAUGAUCUUGGGUUAAGUUGAUAUAUGCAUUUAGGGAGCUUUUUUGGGAGCUUUGCUUUUACAUCCUCUACCUUAUUUUCCGAUGUACUUUUAUCGACUGAUUGUAGGCCAUAGCGCUAAGGGUCUUGCCUAAGGACCUAAGGAUAGAACUAUCUAUCUAUCUAUCUAUCUAUCUAUCUAUCUAUCUAUCUAUCUAUCUAUCUAUCUAUAUAUAUAUAUAUAUAUAUAUAUAUACACACACACAUAUGUAUGUAUUUGUAACCCAUAUAUAUUGGAACACAUUAUAUAACCCAUAAAAAAAAAAAAAAAACUAAAAUUGGGUUACAAUAGAAUCGAUAUGAUCAAAGAAAUGGGUACGGAUCUGAAAUAUAACUCAGAAAUUAACCCAAGAGUUUUUAGAGGGAACAAGUGUGUUCAAGUUAGAACCCACAGGAAUCUGAAUCGUAUACAACCCAUUAGCCUCUUGCUAACAUGUUUGUUGAUUGUUUUGGUGCAUAUAUUUGUCAGAACAGUCGAUUCUUGCCCAUUGCUUGCAGACUGGUAGAAAAAGAGUCGUCCAGUUGAAUCACAACUGAGCUAUAAUCAGUGCUCAACUUAAAUGCAUAUAAUGCUGCGUUCCAGUUACCUUGGAAGUCGGAUGUCAGAGCUGGGAAUGACGUUCCAGACGAGUUGAUGACGUUCCAGUAAACAAGUCAGAAAACCAAGAUGGAUGCCCACUGUCAGCCAUUGUUAGCUGUUGUUAACAAUUGUCAGCUGUUGUUAACAAUUGUCAGUUGUUGUUAGCUGUUGUCAGCUGUUGUUAGUUGUUGUUAGCUAUACCAGUUGUAAACAACUCAUAACACAUUUUACUCUUACAAACACCAUAGCACCCAGUUCACAGUUAGACGUUGGGCAACACAACAUAUACCACUUAUUUAAUUUCACAAAAACGAAACAGAAGUGCUAAAAAAUAAUACAUUACGAGAUCUCUCAUUAUUACUCUUUACUGUGGAUGCGCUGCGCUGCCAUCUUGGGAUAAGACCUUGUCAUCAAGUUGGGGUUGGUGAGGAUCUUCCGACUUUCCGAGUCGGAAAUCCAACUCCAGGGGGGCGUUUCAGGUGAAUUUCCGACUCGGAGCCCUGAAAUCCCGACUUCCAACUACAACUGGAAUGCAGCAUAAAUGUACUAAAUCAGAGAACAUUUGUUACAUACAGCCGAUAGCUUCGACAGCAGUAUGUUCUUCUUGCCAUAUUUUGGAAUGCUAACAAAGUUCCCGAUAUCAAUGACAGAAAGGAACUGAACGUGAAUGCUUUUACCUGGUUCAAUACAAUCCCUGUGUGAGACAGUAAAAAUAAAGAGGCUUUCAUCUGGUGAGUGUUUAAGGGUUACAUCUCUACUGCUUAAUGUUUCAUUUAGCAGCUAUAUGCAUAAUUAAGAGAUCCAUGUAGCAUUUUUGAAGGUUACCUCGGCCACUCUGCAAAAGGAAUGAUAAAUGUUCGUGUUUUACUUCUUAUCAGCAGAAAGUCAGAAGUUUUGUUUUGAUGACUGAAAAUCUAGUUUGUCAAAUGUUUUCAGCAUCUGGUGUGUUGGUGGAAGACACCCUUUUAAUCUCAUUUACAAAUCUGCACGCUUGACAAACAUUUCCUCAAAUACUCAUAAAUGGCGCAGUGUCGAUUCCAAAUCUGUUCUGACAUCCAGUCAAACAAAAUUUAGGCCACAACUGGUCACACUAUCUCAUGCAGUUAAACCGAGUGAAAUAUCAAAUAUUGAACAGAGUGUCUGAGCACUGUUAGGAUGAAUUUUUCUGCUGCUUUGGUAAUCUCUUAAAGUGUAUAUUUCCCACAAUCACAGUGAUUUUCUUGGGCUGUCAAGACAGUUGUCUCCAUGUUUAAUUAAGUGGAGUCCCACAGGAGUCUGGCUAAAUGUUGUGAGCCACAUCAGUAAGUGUGAUGAUUAUUCUUGUCCAGUCAUGCUUGCUCAGACAUGGUUUCAUCUCUGCUGUAGGUGUCAGUUUGAAUCAGUGUCAAUUCGCCGUAGCAGCCUCUUUUAGCAGGACGAGAGGAGGAUAUCCUCUUUUGCACCCUUCAACUCUCUCCCUCUUUUACUUGCUCCAUCCCCCUCCGUCUUCAUCCUCUUGUACCGCAGCUCAUUCGUCAUUUCUCGUAUCCUUGUCCUCACUCUACCUUUUUUGCAGUCAACCAAACAUGCCACCCUAUUUCUAUCGAUUAUUUCCUCACCUGUUUCACCCCUAUUUCCUUGGUUUCAUCUCUCUUUCCUAUUUGUUCUUCUUCAAAAUCCUUAAUUACCCAGGCAGGGUUUUUGCAUGGCUGCACAACCUCCACUUUCUAAGCCUCCUCUAAUUUCUCUCUUCGUCUCCUUCUUGGACUUUCACGACCUUUUUUCUUAACCUCUAUCAUUUUCCAUCAUUCAUUUUGCUUUCUGGCAGUAAUGGGCUUCGACUUUACAGCUAUUAUGGAGUUCUCUAUUGAGUUCUUAGCAGAUAACUUUAGGGAAGCGCGCUCAUGCAAAGUAAAGGCAUUUUAAAAACGACCACUGUUUUUGCACUUCACUGGGUUUGCGUUUGCCACUUUUAUUGUUUUGCUGCACUGUCAAAUCCAGAUGAUACAUUUCUGAGUUACGUAUGAGUUACCAUACUCUUCUAUUUUUUUCCAGCACAGAUACUAUAACAGUAUGUCAGUAUCUUCUCUUUUGGACCACCUCUUUCUCCUUCCCCCUGCAUCCCCCUCUUACUUGUCAGCUCUGUCCACAGGCACUCGGCUGGGGACGCGUCCAACCAGCUGGCUGAGUUCACCGUUUAGGAGUAACUCAGGUCAACAGCUGUUGUGUGUUUCAUGUCUUUGUCCAGCCAGGUCCAGGAUAACUGCCAUGUCCUUGCAUAAAUACAUAGAUGCAUAAAUACAUAGAGAGACAUGUGACCUGUCCUCGAGACCUUCUGCCACAUCACUCACCGAUUGGAGACAUUUCCUGGAACGCCCUUGGGCUGUCCCAUCUGGACAAAGUGUUUGUGUGUGUGCCUGGG
rnacentral:lncRNA from 1 species